AUACGGAGGAUGCGAGCGUUAUCCGGAUUUAUUGGGUUUAAAGGGAGCGUAGGUGGGAUAUUAAGUCAGCUGUGAAAGUUUGGGGCUCAACCGUAAAAUUGCAGUUGAAACUGGCAGUCUUGAGUACAGUAGAGGUGGGCGGAAUUCGUGGUGUAGCGGUGAAAUGCUUAGAUAUCACGAAGAACUCCGAUUGCGAAGGCAGCUCACUAGACUGCAACUGACACUGAUGCUCGAAAGUGUGGGUAUCAAACAGGAUUAGAUACCCUGGUAGUCCACACAGUAAACGAUGAAUACUCGCUGUUUGCGAUAUACAGUAAGCGGCCAAGCGAAAGCAUUAAGUAUUCCACCUGGGGAGUACGCCGGCAACGGUGAAACUCAAAUGAAUUGACGGGG
rnacentral:rRNA from 1 species